AAAAUUUUGUGCGGUCUUGCCUAUUCUUGCUUUCGAGCGACAUUUUGGGGGCUGGCUCCUUGGUGAGUAGCGCGGGGCGGUUGGCCCUUUGGUGCAUAACCUUCCUGGGAAACUGGGGGUCUUCCGGAAACCGCCUUUAAUACCAAAAAUUUAUUUUCAACCGAUUGGCCCACUUUGGAUUAAGGGCUUUGUGGGCUAUUGGCCUUGGAUCCCCACCAUCUUUACUUGGUGGGAAGGGAUCGGCUUACCAAGGGGACCUGACACACCCCACCUACUCGGGUGAUCGGCCACACUGGAAAAUCUUAACCGUCCAGACCCCCCCUGAAGGCACCAUGCCGGAAUCUUCCGCAAGGCCCUAAGGCUUGAAGGCUCUUCCCCCUGGGAGUGAUGAAGGUCUUCGGAUCAAAAAACUCUGUUAUAACUCGAAGAACAACAGCCGCAGUAAUUGUGAGGGUGCUGACGUUGCUUGAUAUUACAGCCCCGGAUAACUACGUGCGCGCACCCGAAAUAAUGGGGUGAUAUCCCGCGUUUCCCCCACUUAUCUGCCUUCAAAACUAUCGAGCUGGAUUUCUAAAUAUGAGAUGGAAUUCCCAGUGCAACCGUGAAGGGUCAUUAUAUACUGAAGAACUUCAGUGCAGAAGGGGAAGUGUGAUUCCGAUGUGGACGGUGAAGUGGCAAGAGGUGUGGAACAAACACCGAUUGGCAAA
rnacentral:rRNA from 1 species